CAGUCGCCGCUGUAAUACGUAGGUCCCGAGCGUUGUCCGGAUUUAUUGGGCGUAAAGCGAGCGCAGGCGGUUAGAUAAGUCUGAAGUUAAAGGCUGUGGCUUAACCAUAGUACGCUUUGGAAACUGUUUAACUUGAGUGCAAGAGGGGAGAGUGGAAUUCCAUGUGUAGCGGUGAAAUGCGUAGAUAUAUGGAGGAACACCGGUGGCGAAAGCGGCUCUCUGGCUUGUAACUGACGCUGAGGCUCGAAAGCGUGGGGAGCAAACAGGAUUAGAUACCCGAGUAGUCCCUGUCUCUUAUACA
rnacentral:rRNA from 1 species